GGUCAUUUAGCUCAAUGGUAGAGUAUUCAGCUGAUAUCUGAGGUGUACGGGUUUGAAUCCUGUAGCCAUCU
rnacentral:tRNA from 1 species